rnacentral:rRNA from 1 species
AGAGUUUGAUCCUGGCUCAGGACGAACGCUAGCGGCAGGCUUAACACAUGCAAGUCGAGGGGCAGCGGGGAGGAAGCUUGCUUUCUCCGCCGGCGACCGGCGCACGGGUGAGUAACACGUAUGCAACCUGCCCCUGUCAGGGGGACAACCCGCCGAAAGGCGGGCUAAACCCGCGUACAUGCCACCGGGGCAUCCCGGAGGCAGGAAAGGCUUCGGCCGGACAGGGAUGGGCAUGCGGCGCAUUAGGCAGUAGGCGGGGUAACGGCCCACCUAACCGACGAUGCGUAGGGGUUCUGAGAGGAAGGUCCCCCACACUGGUACUGAGACACGGACCAGACUCCUACGGGAGGCAGCAGUGAGGAAUAUUGGUCAAUGGUCGGGAGACUGAACCAGCCAAGCCGCGUGAGGGAGGAAGGUACAGAGUAUCGUAAACCUCUUUUGUCAGGGAACAAAGGCGGGGACGUGUCCCCGGAUGAGUGUACCUGAAGAAAAAGCAUCGGCUAACUCCGUGCCAGCAGCCGCGGUAAUACGGAGGAUGCGAGCGUUAUCCGGAUUUAUUGGGUUUAAAGGGUGCGCAGGCGGUCUGUUAAGUCAGCGGUCAAAGCCCGGGGCUCAACCCCGGCCCGCCGUUGAAACUGGCAGUCUCGAGUUGGAGAGAAGCAUGCGGAAUGCGCGGUGUAGCGGUGAAAUGCAUAGAUAUCGCGCAGAACUCCGAUUGCGAAGGCAGCAUGCCGGCUCCACACUGACGCUGAGGCACGAAAGCGUGGGUAUCGAACAGGAUUAGAUACCCUGGUAGUCCACGCAGUAAACGAUGAAUGCUGGCUGUCCGGGGGGAUUGACCCCUGGGUGGCGAAGCGAAAGCGAUAAGCAUUCCACCUGGGGAGUACGCCGGCAACGGUGAAACUCAAAGGAAUUGACGGGGGCCCGCACAAGCGGAGGAACAUGUGGUUUAAUUCGAUGAUACGCGAGGAACCUUACCCGGGCUCAAACGGGGAGUGACUCAGGCAGAGACGCCUGUUUCCCACGGGACACUCCCCGAGGUGCUGCAUGGUUGUCGUCAGCUCGUGCCGUGAGGUGUCGGCUUAAGUGCCAUAACGAGCGCAACCCCCGCGUGCAGUUGCUAACAGAUAACGCUGAGGACUCUGCACGGACUGCCGGCGCAAGCCGCGAGGAAGGCGGGGAUGACGUCAAAUCAGCACGGCCCUUACGUCCGGGGCGACACACGUGUUACAAUGGGUGGUACAGCGGGAAGCCAGGCGGCGACGCCGAGCGGAACCCGAAAUCCACUCUCAGUUCGGAUCGGAGUCUGCAACCCGACUCCGUGAAGCUGGAUUCGCUAGUAAUCGCGCAUCAGCCAUGGCGCGGUGAAUACGUUCCCGGGCCUUGCACACACCGCCCGUCA